rnacentral:rRNA from 1 species
AGUGAACGCUGGCGGUAGGCCUAACACAUGCAAGUCGAACGGCAGCACAGUAAGAGCUUGCUCUUACGGGUGGCGAGUGGCGGACGGGUGAGGAAUACAUCGGAAUCUACUUUUUCGUGGGGGAUAACGUAGGGAAACUUACGCUAAUACCGCAUACGACCUACGGGUGAAAGCAGGGGAUCUUCGGACCUUGCGCGAUUGAAUGAGCCGAUGUCGGAGUAGCUAGUUGGCGGGGUAAAGGCCCACCAAGGCGACGAUCCGUAGCUGGUGUGAGAGGAUGAUCAGCCACAGUGGAGCUGAGACACGGUCCAGACUCCUACGGGAGGCAGAAGUGGGGAAUAGUGGAAAAUGGGGGCAAGCCUGAUCCAGCCAUGCCGGGUGGGUGAAGAAGGCCUUCGGGUGGGAAAGCCCUUUUGUGGGGAAAGAAAAGCAGCAGGUUAAAACCCCGCUGUGCGGACGGUACCCAAAGAAUAAGCACCGGCUAACUUCGU